rnacentral:rRNA from 1 species
UACAGAGGGUGCGAGCGUUAAUCGGAAUUACUGGGCGUAAAGCGCACGUAGUCGGCUUUGCAAGUCGGGUGUGAAAUCCCCGGGCUCAACCUGGGAACUGCAUCCGAGACUGCAUUGCUAGAGUAUGGGAGAGGGGGGGUAGAAUUCCACGUGUAGCAGUGAAAUGCGUAGAGAUGUGGAGGAACACCGAUGGCGAAGGCAGCCCCCUGGGUCUGCACUGACGCUCAUGCA